GUGAAAAUUUGUAGUUUCUUCCUUUACUUUAGAGUAUGGAAAUUAAUAAGUUUCAGUUAUUGAGCAGAAUCAAUUAAGUCGCCUUGACCUUGAAAUAAUAACGUAAUGACUUGCAGAUACGAAUACAUGCCUUCAUUGUAAAGCUGUCAUUUCGGUUGACGCAUUAUUCAGUGUUAUUGGAGUAAUAAAUGGCCUAGUAGCUCAUGCUAUCAUAUUUAGAUAAUUUAAAACUGGCAUCAGAUUUUUCUACCAAGAUAUCGUAAAAUUCAGAGCUCGAACAUUGAAAACUAAAUGUUUGUUUGUAUUGAGACACAUUUUGUCAUGUUUUAUGCUCAAUAUUUUUUAUUUCAGGUGUGUGGUAACAGAUUUCUGUUGGAUGUUUUGAAUGUCCAGCAGGCGAAUGCAGUUCGAGAAGCUUUAAAAGCUGGACAGUUUAGGCAAAGAUGUAAAGGAUACCAUAAAACUUAUACUCAUGAAUUAAGGGAAAACGGGAGAAUUCAUUAAUAUGGACGAAGCCUACAUAUUUAAUCUUUAUUUUGUCCAGGACAUAAACAUAUACUUUCGCGUCAUCACUGAAUUUUUGCUUUCUUUUUAUUAUGACUACCCUGCGAACCCGUGAAACAGAUAUAAGUACAUGUAUAAACGAAACAAGAGGUCGUGCACAUGAGAUAAUUUAGUCUUGAAAAAAGUAAAUGCACCCACCGUAAAUACAUGUAUUAAUAAAGGGCAUACUAUAAAAUCAAUUGAGCGCAUUUUAUCUUUAUUUGAUACAAGUAGAUAAGUAGAAUCUACUGCGCAGUUUUCCAUAAUUUAUAUUUUUAAAAUACUUAGGCAAUGCAUUUUUUUUUCAACAUUCUUGAUGUAUACGGAGCCAUUGUAUUUCCCGUUUGUGCUGAAGAAUGUAUUUCAUUUGUUUAUUACGUAUCCCGACUGGUCUAAUCGAUACAUGUCAUUAUAUGCACGCUUAACAUUAUUGUUUAUUAUAAGCUAUACUACAUAAACAACAGAAUCGUCCAAAGUCUAAACAAUUACGAUAAAGAAAAACAAGCACUUAUUGGAUCUUAAAGUACCAUUUUCCGUUUAUUUGCAAUGUGAUGAAAAUGUCGCGUGAUCCCGGCCAUUUGCGUUUACAUAAGCUUAACUUAAGGGUCUGUUUUAUCACUGGACACAUAAAGCAGUAUAUUCGGCUAUUUCGUUUGGAACUAGAAAAUUUAACCUGCAAAAUUUCAUCACAUUGAUACAAAUGAAAAUGCAGAAAACUGGCAUUAUAAUUCUAAUGAUCUGCCUGGUAUUGGUAGUUUGUAUGGAAGAAUCUACGGCCAGACGAACUUGGCGUCAGCGGAAUUGCUGUGCUAGAAGACAUUGUGGAAGAUGGGAGCGAUGUUCACAGAUUGGGAGAAGAUGCCGAUGUUUAAGUGCAUGGAUGCAUGCCAGAGUGGAUCACAAUGACAACCAGUUUAAUGAUGGGAUUCUGACGGCUUAAUGUAUACGUCGUUUUUUUCCACGUAUUUGUGUAUUAAUCCGCGGAUUAUAUCGCCUAGACCAGCGACUGCUGGGGAUACUCCACAAAUUGCUACUAACAAUAAUGACAUUCUAACUGUUCAUCAAAGAGUGUUUUUGCUGUAAACACCAAAGUUAACAGAACAGAGCAUAACAUAAUUUUAUUGAAUAUUUAUAUAUAUGCCAACGUUAAGUUUAAUAAAUUCUAACACUUUGAUCAAUUAGCAAGCAGGUGUAUUGCCUUGACAAUUACUACUGGAGCUGAUUAUAUUCUGACAUCAUCAUAUUUUUUCCUGUACUUUAAUAGAACCGUAAAUCAGUAAAAAUACCAUCUUACAUAUGAUAACCAAAAACACUUUCAUGAAUCUUUAUGUCUGUGUAUAUUUUAGUUGUCUCCGUUUCAAAAAAUAUUCAAAACCCACAGUUGUGCACUGUUAACUGCCAUUUUAGCACGUUAGAAAUAACGACAUAAAAUCUCAACGUUCUGUAUCAAUAUUUUAUAUAUUUAUAGCUACAGCACAAUUUUCUAAUAUUCAUAUUUGUAGUUCGAUACAAAUUAUACAUCUUCUUUAUACUUCUUCUGAUUAUACAUCAUCGUGCCAUCGCGCCAUCGCGUUUUCGUCAUCGUAUCAUCGUGCAUCGCGAUUUAGAAUUAAAUAAAAAGUCACGAUUGUCCAAACGGAACACCAUAUUCUAGUAAGAAUUCAUGAUGCUGUUUAAGAUGUUCUUAAAGCGUCACAAGAUCGUUAAAAUCGUCAUUAUUUUUUUAUUUACAUUUUUUUGCAUUUAUUUCAACAUUUCAAGUUUAUACAUUUUGCUUAGAAAUAAAUCUUUACAUUACA